UUUUUCAGGGAGGAAUCAAAUGACGUGUACCUGAAGAAUAAGCAUCGGCUAACUCCGUGCCAGCAGCCGCGGUAAGACGGAGGAUGCAAGUGUUAUCCGGAAUCGCUGGGCGUAAAGCGUCUGUAGGUGGCCAAAUAAGUCAACUGUUAAAUCUUGAGGCUUAACCUCAAAAUCGCAGUCGAAACUAUUACGCUAGAGUAUAGUAGGGGUAAAGGGAAUUUCCAGUGGAGCGGUGAAAUGCGUAGAGAUUGGAAAGAACACCGAUGGCGAAGGGACUUUACUGGGCUAGUACUAACACUC
rnacentral:rRNA from 1 species